AUGCCGGGCAGCAUCGGCGUGACCGCCUUCGACGACCUGCCUGAGUGGCUCGUCCUCGACGAGAUCCUUGUCCGCUUGCCGCCCAAGGACGUACUCCGCUGCCGUGCCGUUCGCAAGUCGUGGCGCAGCGGCACAUCCACUCACGCGUUCAUCCUCGGACACCGCCGUCACCAGCCCUCGCUCCCCAUCAUCCAACACAAAUUGGGCAUAUGCCGCGUCGUCAGAGGCUCCAAUGAUCUAAAGAUACGGCCUGUCAUCCGGUAUGAUGACUCCUUUGAAAAGUUCCAUCUCCAAGCCGCCUGUGAUGGCCUCCUCAUCGUGUCGCAGCAAGCCAAUUUCUUCAUCUGCAAUCCAGCCACCCUCAAGUGUGCUUCCCUGCCACGUCCUCCACUACGACCAUGCUUCAGUUUCAUUGACAUAGUCGGCUUCUACCGGCACCCCACAUCUGGAGAACACCGGAUACUCUGGGUGUCAUACACGAUACCCAUUAGGAUUUACAACGCAUUUCAGUUGCCUGAUUACUUUAUCCUCACGGUGGGAUCGAGCUAG
rnacentral:rRNA from 1 species